rnacentral:rRNA from 1 species
AGUGAACGCUGGCGGUAGGCCUAACACAUGCAAGUCGAACGGCAGCACAGUAAGAGCUUGCUCUUACGGGUGGCGAGUGGCGGACGGGUGAGGAAUACAUCGGAAUCUACUUUUUCGUGGGGGAUAACGUAGGGAAACUUACGCUAAUACCGCAUACGACCUACGGGUGAAAGCAGGGGAUCUUCGGACCUUGCGCGAUUGAAUGAGCCGAUGUCGGAUUAGCUAGUUGGCGGGGUAAAGGCCCACCAAGGCGACGAUCCGUAGCUGGUCUGAGAGGAUGAUCAGCCAAACGGGAACGGGAAAAGGGGCCAGCCCCCUAAGGGAGGCAGCAGGGGGAAAUAUUGGACAAGGGGCGGAGGCCUGAUCCAGCCAAACCGCGGGGGUGAAAAAGGCCUUCGGGUUGUAAAGCCUUUUUUUUGGGAAAAAAAAGCAGCAGGUUAAUACCCCGCUGUUCUGACGGUACCCAAAAAAAAAGCACCGGCUAACUUCGU